CGAACUUGGAGGAACUGCGCCACUGAGCUAAAUCCCCGGCCCUCAUGUCCUAAGUUUGGGUUACACAGCCUUAUCCAUUUGUCAAAACUUGUUGGAUGGUAUACUUUUAAGAUUUACACAAUUAGGGAAGAAAAGUCACUGACUCAGAGUGAGGGAAGGAGAUAAGGGAGCAGAAAUCCUGAGGAGAGAGUUCUGGCACAGCUGCUGACAAGGAGAGAGGAAAUUGACCAAAGUCUACAACUCGGUGAAUAAGAAGCAUGACCAAGGUUCCACAGGUUAAUGCCCAUCUUUGACGGCAACGGUGGAGGCCACGACUGAGCACAGUGGUGUGGGCUCCAACUCACCAAAGCUGAUCUAGCUACUACCACUACCAAAACAGAGUCAGGUGCUGGGCUCCAGACUGGGCGUCACCCUGAAGGAAACCAAC